rnacentral:rRNA from 1 species
CAGUCGCCGCGGUAAUACGGAGGGUGCGAGCGUUAAUCGGAAUAACUGGGCGUAAAGGGCACGCAGGCGGUGACUUAAGUGAGGUGUGAAAGCCCCGGGCUUAACCUGGGAAUUGCAUUUCAUACUGGGUCGCUAGAGUACUUUAGGGAGGGGUAGAGUUCCACGUGUAGCGGUGAAAUGCGUAGAGAUGUGGAGGAAUACCGAAGGCGAAGGCAGCCCCUUGGGAAUGUACUGACGCUCAUGUGCGAAAGCGUGGGGAGCAAACAGGAUUAGAUACCCCUGUAGUCCCUGUCUCUUAUAC